GACGAACGCUGGCGGCGUGCUUAACACAUGCAAGUCGAGCGGUAAGGCCCUUUCGGGGGUACACGAGCGGCGAACGGGUGAGUAACACGUGGGUGACCUGCCCUCAGCUCUGGGAUAAGCCUGGGAAACCGGGUCUAAUACUGGAUAUGACUCCAUGACGCAUGUUGUGGGGUGGAAAGCCUUGUGCGGCUGAGGAUGGGCCCGCGGCCUAUCAGCUUGUUGGUGGGGUGAGGCCUACCAAGGCGACGACGGGUAGCCGGCCUGAGAGGGCGACCGGCCACACUGGGACUGAGACACGGCCCAGACUCCUACGGGAGGCAGCAGUGGGGAAUCUUGCGCAAUGGGCGAAAGCCCUGACGCAGCGACGCCGCGUGAGGGAUGACGGCCU
rnacentral:rRNA from 1 species